rnacentral:rRNA from 1 species
GAUGAACGCUGGCGGCGUGCCUAAUACAUGCAAGUCGAGCGAACAGACGAGGAGCUUGCUCCUCUGACGUUAGCGGCGCACGGGUGAGUAACACGUGGAUAACCUACCUAUAAGACUGGGAUAACUUCGGGAAACCGGAGCUAAUACCGGAUAAUAUAUUGAACCGCAUGGUUCAAUAGUGAAAGACGGUUUUGCUGUCACUUAUAGAUGGAUCCGCGCCGCAUUAGCUAGUUGGUAAGGUAACGGCUUACCAAGGCAACGAUGCGUAGGCGACCUGAGAGGGUGAUAGGCCACACUGGAACUGAGACGCGGUCCAGACUCCUACGGGAGGCAGCAGUAGGGAAUCGUCCGCAAUGGGCGAAAGCCUGACGGAGCAGCGCCGCGUGAGUGAUGAAGGCCUUCGGAUCGUAAAACUCUGUUAUUAGGGAAGAACAAAUGUGGAAGUAACUAUGGCCGUCUUGACGGUACCGAAUCAGAAAGCCACGGCUAACUACGUG